rfam:Gossypium arboreum cultivar AKA8401 contig_12653_1, whole genome shotgun sequence.
AUUCCAUGAUGAGUACAUUUUUGCAACAAGUCCUUGAAUCGCUCCCAUGCAUCAUAGAGAGAUUCAUAGUCAAGUUGUUGAAAUGUGAGAUUUUAUUUUUAAGCUU